UACGUAGGUGGCAAGCGUUGUCCGGAAUUAUUGGGCGUAAAGGGCGCGUAGGCGGCGUCUUAAGUCAGAUGUGAAAUUCCCGGGCUUAACCUGGGACGUGCAUCUGAUACUGGGAUGCUAGAGUGCAGGAGAGGUAAGUGGAAUUCCUAGUGUAGCGGUGAAAUGCGUAGAUAUUAGGAGGAACACCAGUGGCGAAGGCGGCUUACUGGACUGUAACUGACGCUGAGGCGCGAAAGCGUGGGGAGCAAACAGG
rnacentral:rRNA from 1 species